AAGAGAGGCAGAGCAUAAGAGCAUGCACCCAAGACAGAAUCCUCAGUGUCUUCUAAAACCUAAUCUUAGAAGUGAUAUACCAUCAUAUAUCAACAGACUACGACUACCCAGGGCUCUGAAUUCUGGAAGGGAAUGAAGAUCAAGAAGUGGCUGAUCCCUAAGCAAAUUUCUUAUUAGAUCUUCAAAUCCUUCACUGCUUUUCAGAACUUAAGGGAAUUAAUACUGACUUUGGGAUUGGUGCUGGAGAAGACUCUUGAGGGUUCCCUGGACUGAAAGAAGAUCAAACCAGUCAAUCCUAAAGGAAAGCGACCCUGAAUAUUCAUUGGAAUGACUGAUACCGAAGCUCUAUAAUUUUUGG